GGCUCAGGACGAACGCUGGCGGCGUGCCUAACACAUGCAAGUCGAACGGGGUGAGACCUUCGGGGUUUCACUUAGUGGCGAACGGGUGAGUAACGCGUGAGGAACCUGCCUUUCAGUGGGGGACAACAGUUGGAAACGACUUGCUAAUACCGCAUAAUACAGUUGAGCGGCAUCGCUUGACUGUCAAAGCUUUAUGUGCUGAAAGAUGGCCUCGCGUCUGAUUAGCUAGUUGGUGGGGUAACGGCCCACCAAGGCGACGAUCAGUAGCCGGUCUGAGAGGAUGAACGGCCACAUUGGGACUGAGAUACGGCCCAGACUCCUACGGGAGGCAGCAGUGGGGAAUAUUGGGCAAUGGGGGAAACCCUGACCCAGCAACGCCGCGUGAAGGAAGAAGGCCUUCGGGUUGUAAACUUCUUUUACCAGGGACGAAGAACGUGACGGUACCUGGAGAAAAAGCAACGGCUAACUACGUG
rnacentral:rRNA from 1 species